GCUCCUCAAAACUGGGACUGGUCUUUCUGGUUCACUGGUUCACUGACAAUUAGCACCACCCCUAGCACAGUGCCCGGAUGUGUGUUGGUGGUCCAUUUCUAGUAGUGGAUAAGUGAAUCGACGUGCUUCCAUAUUCUAGAACAUGGCAGAAGGACCGACGGGAAGAAGUGAGAUGAGAGGGAGAUGCUGGAGGAUGCUUGAAAAGGAGAUUCCAGUCACACUCAAAAAAACAAUAUAGACUAUGAAUAUGUUACCGUUUCAACCAAAAUUUAUUCUUCAUAAUGCCGAAAAUGUCAAGGUCAAGAAAGACAAAUAAGACCUGAGGAAAUGUUCCAGAUUAAGAUAAAAUGGAGAUAUGACAACUAAAUACAACACGUGAUCCUGAAUUGGAUGGUAGAUUUGGGUAAAAAGAAUAUAAGGCACAUUAACGUAAGUUCAGUCGGUCAUAAGGAAAUACCAGAGACUGGGUUGUAUAAGCAACAGAAACUUAUUUUCUCACAGUUCCAGAGGCUGGAAGCCUAAGAUUAAGGUGUCAUUAAGAGAAAGUGACAGCAAGAAAGCCCUCUUGUGUCUCUUCCCAUAAGGGCACAAAUCCCAUCAGGAAGCUCUACUGUCAAGACCUCAUCUAUCCCACAUUACCUCCCAAAGACUCCAAUUCUGAAUACCAUUGAAUGAGGUGGUUAGGGCUUUAACAUACAAAUUCCAAGGAAACGAAACCAUUCAGUCCAUAAUACCCAACAACAGUCUAUUCUUGGUUUCCUUAAAACAACAAAAACUCACUCCCCAGAGGAGUGGGAAACUUUGAAAGGAGUUAGGAAGUCAUACUGGGUAGAGGAAAUUACAAAUAACACACAUAAGAAGUCCAGCUUUACUUAUAGCCAGAAAAUGAUUAAAAAUCAAACCAAACCAAUUACAAUAACAAAAAACCAAGAUAUUCUGAGGAUUUUAACCUAGAGAGGGAUGUUGUUAUAAUGCUUUAUAAGUGGGUAUAAUAUUUUUUUAAAGACUUAUUUAUUUGACAGAGAUAGAGAGCAGGCACGCAUGUAUGCAUAUGUGGUGGGGGUAGGGGACAGACAGAGAAACUUAAGCAGAAUCUGCACUGAAUGUGGAACCUGAAGUGGGGCUUGAUCUCCUGACACUUAGAUCAUGACCUGAGCCAAAACCAAGAGUCAGACACUCAAUCAAUUGUGCUACCCAGGCAGCCCUAAGUGGGUAAACAAACUCAGUAAAACGUCCAAUGAACAUCUAUUUAGGAAAUGUUUCUUUUUUUAAGAUUUAUUUAUUUUUGAGAGAGAGCACAUGCAGGUGCACUGGU